AAACGGUGUGGAAGAUGGGAGGAGAAAAAUCCCUGUUAACUUUCUCUCUCCACUUCCUCAG
ensembl:miRNA MIR6833 microRNA 6833